rnacentral:misc_RNA from 1 species
UUCAGUGAAAUCUAUUU